rnacentral:lncRNA from 1 species
CUCACUCCCAGCUGAAAAUAGUAAAAUGUCUCUGCUUGAGUUAAGUCACGUUGCGUGACUUAACUCACGCUAGUUAUAUUCCUGCGUGACUUAAGUCACGCACCUCUGGGUGGUAGCGUGAGUUAACUCACGCUGCUUUGACCGGUGGUCUGAGCUCAAGAACACGUUUUUGAACGAUGAUCAAUUAUUCAACCUUGAUUUUACGCCAUUUUACGCAUUUCUUUUACACGUUUUUUGACUGCAUUUAGUGUAGUUAAAACUUAUGUUACCAUUCCCCCUAUAAAUAUCCCUCCAACCUUCACCAUUUUCUCACACCAUCAUCUCAUAUUCUCUCCUCCUUACUCUCUCUCCCCCUAUAAAUCUCCUUCUAACUUUUUACCCUUUUGGGAUAAAAAGAAACCAAUAUUGGGGUAAAAAGAGAUCAAUUGACUUAGGGUAAAAAAUGUUCAACCCUUAGGAUAAAACUAAAUCUGCUUCGUUUUACCUCAAAAACUUUUUACCGUAGGUAAAAAGAAUCUUCUUGGGGGUAUAAAAAGAACCAAAUUUAAAUUUAUCCUAAGGGUUGAUGUCUUUUUACCCCAAGAUUGGUCUCUUUUUACCCCAAAUUAAAGUUGGUUUCUUUUUACACCAAAGAAGCAUACUUAGUAAAUUCGAAUAAAAUUUAUCAAUUAUUAAUAAAAUGAGAUUUUAUAUGUACUAUUUUUGUUUCUUUCUUUUUAUUUACAUUGACAUUUAUUUUAUGAUUUUGUCAUUUAAAUAAUAUAAUGUCU